AACACUUUUCAUGGACCAACUCGACCGAUCCAAGGCAACACGUCCCUCUAAGGUUUUAUUUUUGUAGGUGCUUUGUCUAUAGUGUAAAUUUAUGUGUGCCAAGUGUGAGCGAUAUUCUAUAUUAAUAAUUAAUCGAUAAGUCAUGGUAUGAUUAUUAAUCCGUCCACUGGUUAAUAUGUACAAUUGAAAUGUAUUUAUGCACUUUUAAUAUGGGUGUAAUUUAAAUGUGUGUUGUUUUUAAAGUUUAAUUUGAUUCACUGUUGUUUUGGAGAUUUCAAAAUGAGUAACGGGUUUGCACAGUGUAAGGGUAGGGGUCAACUUGAAAUGUAACUUUACCAUAAAUUAAUUGUUCAUGAUGUUGGGAAGUGGAGUGGUUGGUUAGGUUUUCAUUGUCAAUAAUUUAAAUGAGUUCAAAUGUGCUUUCUAACGACUAACGUUUCCAAUUUCUCAUGGCGAUUUCGACCCCUUGCACUGGCAUCACACACAGCCACUGUGUGCCUAUGGUCUGUCGUGUUGAAAGUUUAAAUUCAUCAAAAUAUGUGAACAAUUUUAUGGCUCUGCUUUUGCCGCCAAAUUCUGCACUUACAAAAUGGUGGAUGCAAAAUAUAUAUUGUAUUAUGUGAUGAGUACAAGUGAAUUGGAUCAGAAAAACUAAUAACUAAUAAGAUUUCAUUUCUGGGGGGAAACAUUUUUCCAAAAGGAAUAAUAAUUCUAUGCAUGGAUUGAAAUCUUGUUGAAGGAAAUGAUUUUUUUUUUUAAUUACCAAGGUUUUAAAGAUUCAGACAUAACCUUCUAAUUUCAGUUCACAAUUCCUGUACUUACUGAAAUAAGUUUUGAGCUCAGUGCCUGAAAACUUUCAAUCAGAAGGAGAUUUUUUUAAUUUGUGAAAACCUCACAGAGAUUCUUUCCAACUUUUAUGAAAAUUAUUCCAGUAUCCGACUUUCUAAAUGUCUGAAUUUUUGUGACAAAAUCUCUUUCAAUCUUGUGUACAUUCCCGUUUUAUGUCAAGUUGCAGUGAUUUUUGGUUCUUCAAUGAAAACUUUAGGAUGAUAAGAUUUGUGGGGGAAACUGAACUUAAUCAUUUGAUUCAUGAAUUAUUCAUUUAAAAUUCCAAUGAUCGUUCCUGAAUAUUCAUUAGUACUCUUUACUAUUCAAAAUGAUAUUAUUAUUAUCUGUGUGCCACAUAUCACAUCCGUCCAAGUGAUCUAGAUAAACAAUUGAAGUGAAAGACUCUAGUUAAAAAAUAAAUAAAAUAAAGACAAUAUUAAUUAUGGUUGAGAUCAAUCUUCCGUCCGGAUGUUAACAUUUUGUAAUUUUCACGUUUAAUUUGUUUGUUUAUCGACAUAAAUUGGAAGUAUACCCUGUUUUGUUUUUAUUUCUUUAAAUCAUUUAUUUUAAAGCUGCCCUAUAAUCGAUUUUUUUUUAAUUUUGAAGUUGGGGAACUUUAAGUCGGUAUAAUUUAUUUUAUUUACCUUUAUUGUCACUUUAUUUAUUAGAAAUGCCCCAAAUGUUGUUAUGGUGUUUUUUUUCAAUUUAAUAUUAAAACAAACAUUUAGAAUGGCCAGAUUCUACAAAAAUGUAUUCCUAGUGCCUGAGCCAAAUAACUCCAGGGGAAACAAGUUUUGACUUUUAAAAGUCCAAAAAUAAGAUGACUUUAUUUGAUGUUCCAACUAAAAUACUAUACAACUAGUCCACUAUACUUGUAUAUACUUUUGACAAAUGACUUGUAUAUAAUUUAUAAAAGACAUAAUUUUUUGUACAUAUUGUAUUUUUCAGCACAUUUUGUGACAUUGAUGUCAUGUUUGAGUUAAACUACAAAAAUUGUAAAUAUGGUAUUCAUAUGACUUUCACGUCUCAUUUGUUCGAGAUUUUUGUUCUGCUUUGGAAGCAACUGAAAAAUCUUCACUCCCGAGAAAGAAAUUCACACAAAAUUAUUCCUUGAAUUACAAAAACAAAUUAAGUUGUGCUUAAUUAUUUUAUGGCAAGCUGGCCUGGCCUUUCAAUUUAUCAAUUUUUAAUUAUUUUUGAGUACUUUUAAUUAUCUGUUGAACUUGGUGUUAGUGGUUGGGUUUUAACACACUGUUCUAAAAGUUAAAACAGAACCUGUAAUAAGUGGCCAGUCAGUAUGUGAUAACUGAUUCUUUGUGUAUAUUUUAUCCUGUCUAUUGUGACCACAUGUCACUGAAUUUUUGGGGAUCUUUUUUAAGAGUUUUUGCAUCACUUACUGUUUGUUCUAAACACUUUAAUUGUAAACUUGUAAUUGUUUGCACAGUGUGGAUAAAUUUUUAGUUUGUUUUCAGUUGAUUCCGUCCAACUACAACGGUUUUUAGUUUUAAAAUCGCAAUCUUUUUCUAUAGUUGCUUGUAGAAGUAAUUUUUGACUAAAUUUUUAAAUUUCGAUGUUAGGAAUUUAUUGUCGCAAAGUGUGCAUGUUUUCCGAUGGGAUAAUAUCACAUUGUAUUUUAAAUGCCUUGUGCAUUGUUUGACACUACGUAGUUAAUACUUGAGUUGGUUUAAAUUUAAACUCACGCACAUAUAGAUGGAAAGUUCAUGCCAAAUUUUUGCAUGAUAGUAUGGCGUAAAGUUGUUGCCACAAAAUUUUUUGUUUGGUAAUGAUAAUAUAAAGAACCCCAGUCUUAAAAUUAACUAUUGAGUUUUAACUCGUAGCAUAAAAGCAAGGUCCAUACUUAAAAAAAUUAUCAAAAGUUAAAUCCUUGCAUGAUUAGUCGGUGAAUAUUGGAGCGCUUGAUGCAACUCAAAGCCAAAUCCCAAGUUCCAUGUAAAGAUGGCGUAUAUCUGUCCAUGUCAGUGCACUUGUGAAUGCAAGUUUUCCAUUCCAAAAAUUUCAAUUAAGGCAAGAAAAUGUUAACAAAUCAAACUUAGCACGAAGUCCAAUUAGUUACAAUAAUUGUAACGCUCCGGCGAGGGUCCAAGACCCGAGUCUUUGAGUCGACCCUCGCCGGGGCGUUACCCGAGACCCGAGUCUUUGAGUUGACCCUCGCCGGGGCGUUACCCGAGACCCGAGUCUUUGAGUUGACCCUCGCCGGGGCGUUACUGUAAUUAUUGUAACUAGAAUAGAAGUCCGAUGUGCUACAGCUGCUUAUGACCAUACAUUCCCCAAACAAAAAAACAACCACACAGACAUUCCUUUGUACAGUGGAAUAAAUCAAACACUUUUAUGUACAAUUUAGUAUAAUUUAUUUAUCGUCUUUUCCUGUGUGCCAUACAGCUUAAUAUUUGGUUGAAAUAAAAUUGCUUGAAAGUGAAGUUAACAGAAUAGUGGUGUCUAACUUUGUCUUUUUUUUUUCUUUAAUCAAAGUAGUUGGAUUAAGCAAAAAAAAGUCACUCCUCAGUUGUUUGCCACACCUGAGCACUGGAGAGCAGAGCACUUGAUUCAAACUCUGGUGCUUCUGACCAGUAGAGUGUGGGUUCGAGUUCAGUCGAGACACUUGUCCUCGAGCAAGCACUUAACCAUUGCUUCAUCCUUCGGAUGGGACGUAAAGCCGUUGGUCCUGUGUAAUGCACGUAAAAGAACCCAGUGCACUUUUAAUAUCGGAAAGAGGAGUGUUCACCCGGUGUUCCUGGUUUGAUUAACUUGAUAAACCAUUUUUACAUAGUGCUAUAACAGGAGUACGACUCCAUUCAAGCGUACCCCUAGAUACCUUGCAGGAAAAUACUGAAUGUUAAAACUCCUUUAGCAGGAGAAGCUUGCUAAAAAGCAGUAUUUUUUGUUUGUUAAAUUGGGCCAUCCCUGAAUCACAGGCUGCACUGAAUGCUUCGGGGGAUACAAAUUUUGUUCUCCAAGACCAAGAAGAUGAUCAGAAAUUCUGGACUUAGUGGGGAGAAGAUAAUCAUAUUAUGUGACCUUUUUAAUCAUAAACUAUAGAGGGCGCUUCAGAAUGUUGUUUGUAACAUUUAUGCCACAAGAGGGCGCUUUUCUUUGUAUAUAAACACACUGCUGGCACAUGUGGGGACCAUUUCCCAAUAAGAUGUCAACCAAGAAUGUUUGUGCAAUCAUGGGGAGGAGUUCAAACUGCUAAUAAAUACGUAGUCGGCAAACUUGCAGGCAAACAUACCGCAGUCGCUGCCGUUCAUCUGUUGCGGAAUGUCCUUGGGACAGGAGAACGUCCAUCCGGUGAUAUCAUAGGCCGAGCCUUUCUUAUCUUGGUGUUCAUCAAUGAGAUAAUCUCUGCAAAAGGGAGGGAGAAAACAAGAUCUUUGACCCAGUCUUGCAGUGCGUAUGGUGACGAGGUUAAGCUUCGUUCGAACGCCGUCAGCUGCGAUAGUUCUCUGGUGGAGGUGGAUGGCUUGGGGGCUGGCUUGACCGCAAGGAUGAUCGGUGACUCGGACCGACUGAAAUCUGAAACAUCAAAGGGGUACAAAAACACGCGGGUGUAACUAUCAUUCAGAUGAUAGGUUGUGAUACUAGCGGAAACAACCACCCCAGGCCUUGGACUUUGCUCUUGAGGGAGUGCAGCAAUUUCCCUCUGAUUGGAACACUAGCGAUAACAAGACCCCAGGCCUCGGACUUUGCUCUUGGAGGAGCGCACCAAUGUUCCUCUGGUUUUGGGUGAUUCUUUGACCGGCAGGAUGCGCUACUGUAACUGGAUGAGUUAGGAUCUGCCAACUGGUGGUGAGUUGCUUUUGACGUUCG